rnacentral:rRNA from 1 species
UACGUAGGGGGCGAGCGUUGUCCGGAGUUACUGGGCGUAAAGCGCGCGCAGGCGGUUCGCCAAGUCUGGAGUGACAGUUCCCGGCUUAACUGGGAAAGGCCUCGGAAACUGACGAACUUGAGGGGCUUAGAGGGAGACGGAAUUCCAGGUGGAGCGGUGAAAUGCGUAGAGAUCUGGAGGAACACCAAGGCGAAGGCAGCUCUCGUGCGCUCUGACGCUCAGUGCAA